CGGGUGAGUAAUACAUCGGAACGUGCCCAGUAGUGGGGGAUAACCCGGCGAAAGCCGGACUAAUACCGCAUACGACCUACGGGUGAAAGCAGGGGAUCGCAAGACCUUGCGCUAUCGGAGCGGCCGAUGUCAGAUUAGCUUGUUGGCGGGGUAAAGCCCACCAAGGCGACGAUCUGUAGCUGGUCUGAGAGGACGACCAGCCACACUGGGACUGAGACACGGCCCAG
rnacentral:rRNA from 1 species